GUCCAAGGCCAUACAACCUUGGACAUACACAAUCUCAUCUGAUGUUGGAAAUCAAGCAGGGCCAGCCUCAGGUAAUACUUGGAAAGUAAAUUGUCAUAGAAUACAGGGUACCUAUGCUU
rnacentral:rRNA from 1 species